GGUAGUCCACGCCGUAAACGAUGGAUACUUAGCUGUUGGAGGUAUCGACCCCUUCAGUAGCGAAGCUAACGCGUUAAGUAUCCCGCCUGUGGAGUACGGCCGCAAGGCUAAAACAUAAAGGAAUUGACGGGGACCCGCACAAGCGGUGGAUUAUGUUCUUUAAUUCGAUGAUAACCGAAGAACCUUACCAGGGCUUGACAUCCAGGGAAGGUCUGCGAAAGUAGACUGUGCCUUUUGGAACCCUGUGACAGGUGAUGCAUGGCCGUCGUCAGCUCGUGUCGUGAGAUGUUAGGUUAAGUCCUUCAACGAGCGCAACCCUUGUGAAUAGUUGUAUUUUUCUAUUCAGACUGCCCCGGUAACGGGGAGGAAGGAGGGGAUGAUGUCAGGUCAGUAUUUCCCUUACGUCCUGGGCUAGAAACGUAAUACAAUGGCUAGUACAAUGCGCAGCGAAGCCGCGAGGUGAAGCAAAUCGCAUCAAAGCUAGUCCCAGUUCGGAUUGUAGGCUGAAACUCGCCUGCAUGAAGUCGGAAUCGCUAGUAAUCGCAAAUCAGCAAGUUGCGGUGAAUACGUUCCCGGGUCUUGUACACACCNGCCCGUCAAACCAUGAAAGUGACCAACACCCGAAGUCCGAUUCGUCGGCCUAAGGUGGGGGGCAUGAUUGGGGUU
rnacentral:rRNA from 1 species